rnacentral:rRNA from 1 species
GAUGAACGCUGGCGGCGUGCCUAAUACAUGCAAGUCGAGCGAACAGACGAGGAGCUUGCUCCUCUGACGUUAGCGGCGGACGGGUGAGUAACACGUGGAUAACCUACCUAUAAGACUGGGAUAACUUCGGGAAACCGGAGCUAAUGCCGGAUAAUAUAUUGAACCGCAUGGUUCAAUAGUGAAAGACGGUUUUGCUGUCACUUAUAGAUGGAUCCGCGCCGCAUUAGCUAGUUGGCAAGGUAACGGCUUACCAAGGCAACGAUGCGUAGCCGACCUGAGAGGGUGAUCGGCCACACUGGAACUGAGACACGGUCCAGACUCCUGCGGGAGGCAGCAGUAGGGAAUCUUCCGCAAAGGGCGAAAGCUUGACGGAGCAACGCCGCGUGAGUGAUGAAGGUCUUCGGAUCGUAAAACUCUGUUAUUAGGGAAGAACAAAUGUGUAAGUAACUAUGCACGUCUUGACGGUACCUAAUCAGAAAGCCACGGCUAACUACGUG